rnacentral:rRNA from 1 species
UACGGAGGGUGCAAGCGUUAAUCGGAAUUACUGGGCGUAAAGCGCACGCAGGUGGCUGAGUCGGUCGAUUGUGAAAGCCCUGGGCUUAACCUGGGAAUUGCAGUCGAUACUACUUAGCUAGAGUAUGGGAGAGGGCAGUGGAAUUCCCGGUGUAGCGGUGAAAUGCGUAGAUAUCGGGAGGAACAUCAGUGGCGAAGGCGGCUUGCCAAUACGCGCUCGACGGUGAGGGAUGAAAGCUGGGGGAGCAAACCGG